AAAAAAUUCUGCAAAUUGUGGCUUCUCCUGAAAUACAUCUCAACUGAAGUAGACAUUGACAUGGCUGAAUGAGUCACCCUUGGCUUCCACUUUUAGCACAUUUAAUUAAGCAAAUGUUGCAGGAUUCUCCAUGUCAGUCACUUUACAGUAGGACAUUCCCCAUCUCCAUGCCAACUAGGGGCUAAGCACAUCUUUGCUCUGAGCCUGGGCUACCCCUUAGGAAGAACUCCCCAGGAUGAUAACUUCCAAUGCUGAAAAAUGCUACCUAUACCAAAGUGUGAAAGUGCUGUUCAACUCAAACCACGUGCAGCAGAGAUUUUACAUGAAAUUUAGGGAUAACCUGGAGAAAACAUCUCUUCCCUUUCAAAGUACUUAACAAGUGAGCAAUAGGAAGAAGAAAAAAAUGGACAUAAUGCUGUUCUCCAAAGGGGGCAUCUGGCUGUGUGGCUUGGAAGGUCCUAGAAUGAAAAUGCACAGGAUGCUUGGAUUCAAGCAGGAGGGCAACAAUAUCACUCCCUAUUAUCUGAGGAAGACUGUAGUGACGUUGGGGAUGGAGGCCUGCUUAGUUCACACAACUACUGGGUUUGAUAGAACAUGGAACUGAAGUUUCAUUAAGAAUAUGCCAGUCUCUGAAACCCUUUUGGAGAAGGAGGUGAAUCCUGAGGAAUAGAGUGAGAGCUUCUGCCCAGGGCAUGAACAAGGCUCCUUCUCAAAGCAGUGCUGAAGGCUUUCUGCCUUCUUAUCUGUUUUAUAUACACACCAUGUUUCUGAAGAAUCAUCU